AGGAUGAUGUCAAGUCAGCAUGACCUUUUAUAUCCAGGGCUACACACACGCUACAAUGGCCUGUACAAUGGGUAGCCAAGCCGCGAGGCGGAGCCAAUCCUGAAAGCAGGCCUCAGUUUCAGAUUGCAGUCUGCAACUCGACUGCAUGAAGCCGGAGUUGCUAGUAACCGCAGGUCAGCAUACUGCGGUCGAAUACGUUCCCGGGCCUU
rnacentral:rRNA from 1 species